GACUUCUGGUUUAAUGCACCUGGCCCGCGGCCCACAAGGCCUGUGAGUGCCGGAGCGCGUUUACCAUCCUUCCAGCAACGGCUACCCUGGAACUGGAUCUUUUCCUUUGAAAAAAUUCGAGUGUUUAAAGCAGGCGUUUGCUCUCAAUACAUUAGCAUGGAAUAAUAAUCUAUGAAGUAUGAUUGAGAGGGAUAGUUGGGGGUGCUAGUAUUGGCCGGUCAGAGGUGAAAUUCUUGGAUUCGGUCAAGACUAACUUAUGCGAAAGCAUU
rnacentral:rRNA from 1 species